CGUUCAUGCCCAUAGAGAAAGUAAAGUCAUGUCGAAACCGUCUGUGAUUCCUCGAGUAUUUUUCCAGCUACUUGCCACUUGCCCAACAGCUCCUCUUGGACCUCAGUUAGAACCUGAUAGGGUGGUGGAAAUACAGUUUCACAGCAAAAGAUAAAAUGAUGUGAGGAUAUCUCCAACCACUUUGAUACAAAAAUCUCGUGUUAUUGGCUUAUGCAGACAAGCAGAUGCUGAGAAUAUUUGUUGCCAGAAGACCUGAACUAUAAGAAAUAUUCAAGUAAGUUCUACAAGCAAAAAUCUCAUGGCACCCAACAAAACUCGAAUCUACUCAAGUAACUGAAGAACGCUCAAAGCUGUGAAAAGUAAAGCAUUGAUGAAAACCCAGCUUUUCCCCCUGCAAACCCCGUAGCAGCAUGAUCUGACUGUAACAAAUGUCUAUU
rnacentral:lncRNA from 1 species